AUGGAGUUGGAACUGCUCUCUUUUAUAUUUGCUCUCUUAAAAUAUGUCCAGUGUGAAGCACAGCUGGUGGAGUCUGGAGGAGGCUGGGUGCAACCUGGGGCUUCUCUGAAACUCUCCUGUGUAGCCUCGGGAUUCACUUUCAGUAACUCCUGGAUGUACUGGUUUCACCAGUUUCCUGGAAAAGCUCUGGAGUGGAUUGGAGGGAUUAAAUAUGCGCCAUCCAUAAAGAAUCGAGUCACAAUGUCCAGAGAGAAUGCCAAGAGCACCCUGAAUCUGCAGAUGAACAAUGUGAGAUCUGAUUACACAGCCACUUAUUACUGUGUGAGAGACAUAAUGAAUGGACUUCAUUGUGAAUCUAGACAUAAACCUCACUCUAAGGUUACUCUGAACCACCAAGGGGUGCACAGUACCCUUGGUAUGCAUUACACUGUUUCAGACCAGAUUAUAAACACAUAA